UAUAUACAGUGAGACAAAACGAUGAGCGCAUCUGCAUCGAAGCUCUCAGAGCUGAUAGUUUAUAUCUGCGUCCUUUUUGUGCAGUACAGUACAGAAUACAUCCUGUAUCCAACUAAUGCAGAGUAUAUUCAAGUUGCCAACACACUGGCUGUGAAGAACCCUUUCCAGAGAAAUAUAAAAGGAAAUGACUGUCACACCUGACACAUCCCUAAACCGGAAAUUUAAAGCAGAACGUGCUCCACUUGCAGGUUAUUGUAGCAUAUGUAAGCACACUGCCAUAUGCAUAAUUUAUUUUUGCACUGUUAAUCAAUUUUACAUUUUCACUUCAAUGUAAGGAAGAUACUGUACUACAGAUAUUUAAAUCUUUUUUUGUAUCUACUCCACUUUUU
ensembl:lncRNA